rnacentral:rRNA from 1 species
UACGGGGGGAGCAAGCGUUGUUCGGAUUUACUGGGCGUAAAGGGCGCGUAGGCGGCCAGCACAAGUCAGUUGUGAAAUCUCCGAGCUUAACUCGGAACGGUCAACUGAUACUGUGCGGCUAGAGUGCGGAAGGGGCAACUGGAAUUCUUGGUGUAGCGGUGAAAUGCGUAGAGAUGUGGAGGAACACCGAUGGCGAAGGCAGCCUCCUGGGCCAGCACUGACGCUCAUGCACGAAAGCGUGGGGAGCAAACAGG